UAUUGAAAACAGCAACAGCAAUACUGAAGACAGCAAUUUUAUUUUAAGUAUUGCUGCUUUAGGCUGUGUCCUACCACUUGCAUAAUGUGAGGGAAAAGCAGAGGAAGAAUGUGUAAGGAACAUUUUUUUAUGUAAAUAGCUAGAGAGAAUGACUCCCAAGACUUGGUGGGCUGUGGGGCUUGGUGAGUCAUGAGCACAGUGUGAAAUUUAAGAUCUGCUUCAAGGUGGUGGGAAUAGCUGGCUAGGAAGGUCUGGCUCAUCCUCUGGAUAUUUUUUUCAUUGCCGGAGGAGCUGCUGCUGCAUUCCUACUACUGGUAGUUCUCCUGAUCAUCAUCAUCAGCACCGUUGUUUACCACAGAAAAAAGAAGAGGAGAAGGAUCAUGUCCAUGUCAAAGAUUUUUUACUCCACUCAGAACAGGCCCAUGAACAGUUACGGAAGAUCCAAUUUUGUUAGCACACCAAACUCAGAAAGAGAAGAAGCUUCCACAUCCAGGCAGACAGAGGACAUUUAUGUCAACUACAGAAACUUCUCACGCUAACCCAGGAUAAGAAUAUGAGCUGCUGCCUUAUGUCUGAAUUAACUAAUCAAAGUACUGCACAAUCAUAGGCUUCUCUUGAAUUAUCUGUUUAUACGAGCUUGACCUAUUCAUUAGUUUCCCAUCAACUGCCCAACUCUGGCUGUCUACACUGCACUCUGCAGUACAAUUUAGAGAUACCUAAUACAACUUUAAACAAGAAACAGGGAAAAUGACCUGCACUGGUCAUCCUGGUGGAAUGCCCAGACUGCUUUGGGUUCUUAUGUUAACUUGUUUAAGGUAGGUUUGGUAUAUCUACUAUACAAUGCAGUCCAUAUCUGGAGUGGGACAGUAUUUAUGUUUAUAUGAUUUAAACUUUCCUAGUCAGUAUUUUAAGCAAUAAUAUUUUUGGUGGGAGAAAUAGGUUAAGCACCAAAUUCAAUUCUGAUAUCAGUAUAACUUAAUCUGUUCACACUAGGUCUGAAUUCCAUGAAAGCUUGAUGUGAAAGAGUGAAGCAGAAGGAAAACCUGUUAUGUUUAGUCUAGUUGAAUGUAUUGAACCUCACCAAUGGCUAUCCCAAUCGAUUUUUUUUUUUUAUAGUGGUGGCAGUAUGAAACUUUUUUUGUUGCCUAUUGACAAUAUCCUUGGACGUGAAAUGAAACUGAAUUCCCCAAGUAAAAUAUAAUAGCCUUUUCCUUCCUUGCUUAAAGUUGCUGGCACAUGACAUAUUUGCUAAAUAGCUAAUUAGCCUUACUAUAUAGUAGAAAUGGAGCUUUAGUAAGUAGUAUACCAUUUGAAUCCAGAUUAAAGUUAGUCCUUGAAUAAUAAGUAAUAACCAUUAUUGUGGGAAGUUACUACUUGUGUGUCCACUUCUCUAGUGUAUUACAUCUAGGGGUAGUCAUUUGCUCAAUUCAAACUGACUCCCCUGCCAUCUAGUGGCCAGACAUUGUAAUGGUACACUUAGUUUGGAAGAAGUGGUGCAUCCACUCGCUCCUUAUUACAAAGUAAAUUUUACUGUGGAGUAAAAUUCAGGUAAACUAUUGCAUAGAAAUCUUGUCAUGCAUCCGCACCCUAAGGAGAGUUAGUAGGCACUGUCCAUCUGAUACAGCCCCAAGCUCAUGCAGACUUUCCCAGCAGUCGUUACAGUCACUUGGGCUUGCAUGAUUUUGAGAUGGGCUGGGCAGACUGCUUAACUCUCAGGAUAAAAAUAAAACCACAAGACUCUGUCAUAGGCAAGUUAUAGUUAAUAAUAAUUUAUUGUACGAUUUAGUUGCACAAAAAAUAAAUGAGACCAUGGAGAAUACAUGAGUAAAUGAGGCAAAGCAGAAAAAGCAUGGAUAAGAACAUUCACAAACUGAUAUAUAUGUAUAUACACACACAUAUAUAGAUGUGUGUGUGUGUGUGUGUGU